rnacentral:rRNA from 1 species
GACGAACGCUGGCGGCGUGCUUAACACAUGCAAGUCGAACGGAAAGGCCCUGCUUUUGUGGGGUGCUCGAGUGGCGAACGGGUGAGUAACACGUGAGUAACCUGCCCUUGACUUUGGGAUAACUUCAGGGAACUGGGGCUAAUACCGGAUAGGAGCUCCUGCUGCAUGGUGGGGGUUGGAAAGUUUCGGCGGUUGGUGAUGGACUCGCGGCUUAUCAGCUUGUUGGUGGGGUAGUGGCUUACCAAGGCUUUGACGGGUAGCCGGCCUGAGAGGGUGACCGGCCACAUUGGGACUGAGAUACGGCCCAGACUCCUACGGGAGGCAGCAGUGGGGAAUAUUGCACAAUGGGCGGAAGCCUGAUGCAGCAACGCCGCGUGCGGGAUGACGGCCUUCGGGUUGUAAACCGCUUUCGCCUGUGACGAAGCGUGAGUGACGGUAAUGGGUAAAGAAGCACCGGCUAACUACGUG